UCAAGCAAAAGGAGGUUAUCACUUUUUGAUGAUGUCUUCUUCGAUUUUACAUCAAGAGGAUCCAUAGACAGUGGUUAUGGGAUUCAAAAUUUGUCAGUCACAGAAGAUUCAGCACCUGGGUCUUUCAGCUCAUAACAUGAAAAUGCACCUGUGCGAUAAAGACCAGAGCAAAUUAAGUGGUGGAUGUCCGAUGAACAGAAAAGACAUUUAAUUAUUUAAAGAAAUUGUAUUUAAAAUAUUUAUAAAAUAAUCUCAGGAAACCAACAUAAUUAUACAUACAUUUACUGGGUUGAUUUCAGAUUAUAUAUCUUAUGUCUUUCAAAGCAAAUUCAGAUGACUAUAUACAAACUGUGUAGUGUAAAUAAUAUUAAAAAAAUAAGAACAUUGUAUAAAGCA